rnacentral:rRNA from 1 species
GAUGAACGUUGGCGGCGCGCUUAACACAUGCAAGUCAUCUCACUUCGGUGGGAGGCGGACGGGAGCGUAACACGUAGGAAUAUGCCUCAAACUCAGGGAUAACUCCGGGAAACCGGAGCUAAUACCGGAUGGUCCCGCAAGGGUAAAGCUUCGGCGGUUUGAGAGUAGCCUGCGGCCUAUCAGCUUGUUGGUGAGGUAAAGGCUCACCAAGGCUAUGACGGGUAGCUGGUCUGAGAGGACGACCAGCCUCACUGGGACUGAGACACGGCCCAGACUCCUACGGGAGGCAGCAGUGAGGAAUCUUCCGCAAUGGGCGAAAGCCUGACGGAGCGACGCCGCGUGCACGAUGAAGGCCUUCGGGUCGUAAAGUGCUUUCUGUGGGACUACUUCGAAUGUACCACAGGAACAAGUCACGGCUAAUCACGUGCCAGCCGCCGCGGUAAU